GGGGAUGCAUUGCAUCGACAAGAUUGCUCUUUAAAAACUGCAAGCCGAUAAUGAUACUAAUCGUAAAAGCGUAUCAAAAACAAAUGCUAAGAACUUUCUUAGCGGUCAAAGUUUCGCCUUUGCUCCUCAAAGAGCAAUGUACGUAAACUAAGACCUGUUCAUACUAAGAUUUUUCCAAACGAUCAGGUGUGGGCAAAAACAAAGUUUGGAUAAGGUAAAAUCUUUGGUUGGGGUUUUGCUCGAAAAUUUAACCUUGGUUACAACAAAUCCUUUUGAUCGGAGUAUGUUAUAACGACAAUUAAAGAUCAAAUAAGCUUGUAGAUGUUUUUAUAGAUGCUUUUUUGGACGGGGGCUCAAAGCCCCCCAUCUCCACAA
rnacentral:tmRNA from 1 species